GGGGGGGGGGGGGGGGGGGGGGGGGGGGGGGGGGGGGGGGGGGGGGCGGGGGGGGGGGGGGGGUUGGGGGGGGGGCUGGGGGGUAGUGGCGGACGGGUGAGUAACACGUGAGUAACCUGCCCGUCACGUCUGGAUGACCGCGUGAGAGGGUGGCUAAUGCGGGGUGGUUCUGGGUCUUUCGCAGGGCGGGGGCGGGAAAGCUGGGCCUGGUCGGUGUUGGUGCGGGGUGGUGGUCUCGGGGCCUGGCAGCUUGUUGGUGGGGGGGUGGCCUGCCGAGGCUUUGACGGGUAGCCGGCCUGAGAGGGUGGGCGGUCACACUGGGACUGAGAUACGGCCCAGACUCCUACGGGAGGCAGCAGUGGGGAAUAUUGCACAAUGGGCGGAAGCCUGAUGCAGCGACGUCGCGUGAGGGAUGGAGGCCUUCGGGUUGUGAACCUCUUUCGCCAGUGAGGAAGGCCUUGCCCGUGUGGUGGGGUUGACGGUAGCGGGGUUAAUUGAAGCGCCGGCUAACUACGUG
rnacentral:rRNA from 1 species